CAUUUUCACUUGUCAAAGAUGGUCAAUGGCAGCAAUGGCGGCUAAUGGGGGCGUAUGUAUAUGAUACAGUAGUAGACACAUCUUUGUCGAUUUAUCAGAGAAAUCUCGUGUGUGUUACAUCGUAUGCGUUCUGCGUCCGGAAUCUAUCUAUGCGAGGGCGUUACGUCCUCGUAGAGAGAGAAAAAGAAAAAGAAGCAAUUUCGACGACUUGGAAGGACGCAACAGACAUCGGAUCCGCGCUGUUCAUUCACGGAUGUUUACGACUGGCAUGUUAAAUGGAAAAGAACGUGGAAGUGACGGAGGUGACGUCGUCCAGGGAGACUGACACCGGCCUUGCCGCGAAUUCAUCGAUAGGAUCGGGCGACAUUGACACCGAGGUCAAUGAUAAUACGCUGACGAACGAACCGUCACCGCGUCACGACGAUGACGUAAGGAACGACAACGAAAAUGGUAAGAAUGCAGCGGAGGAAAAACGUGGAGAAGGCAUCGCUGCGAACUCGUCGCGAGGAACUAACGCAUCUCAGACUCCCAUAGCCUUCACCAUUGAAUUCGAUAACAACAAAGAAGUGGACACGGCCAAGUACCACAAUCUGUUCGAGAGAUAUAACGCCAGGCACAGGCGGAAUCUCUCCAUGUCCAAGGUAGAAAUAAAAUCAAAGAAGCCAAGCGCUAUAUUAUCUCCAAACUUGGGACAAAAGCAGAAAGUUCCUAGCACUCAUUCGGAAGGUUACUUUAGUAGCGAGGAUGAAACGAAGCGAAAAACUGAUCAAUUAUCAGAAAGACUUAAACAACUAGGUAUGAAGAAUCCUUCGAGAGGAGAUUCUAGCACAAAGAUGUUUGCUAAUGAAAAUGUAGAUCAUCAGAAUAAAUAUUUAAAGACGAGAUCUAACGAUGGUGAAAUACGACGUAAUAUAUGGUCACAAAGCCUCUCCUUGGAAUUCGAAUCCAACGAAAACGAAUAUUGGACGUCUCAAAGAUCCGCAACAAUAAAUGAUUUAAGUCGCGUUCAAAUUAGCAAUUACGACGAUGACGAAAACGAGAAGCAAUACACGAAAAAUAUUGAGUACAUUGCUCACAAGAGCGAAGAAGCAAAUGAUUUCGAAGAUAAUAAAGUAUCUAAUAUGAAUUAUCUCACCGAUGAUUUUAACAUAAGAAACACAAACGAACGAGAGAGUGCUUUGUCGAGCAUCAAUUACGCGAUGAAUCUCGAUGCGAAUGAUUUAGCGGAUACUAAUCUGGAUGUAUUUAAUGUCAGUAAUGUCGAUGCCGCUUCUGAUGGUGCAGUGAGCGAGACUGGAACGUAUACCAUUCAUAAAGAUUAUACCGAUGAGGAAAAAGCGAGAAUGGACAUCGACAAAGUUUUUAGUGUCGGUGUUUUAACGGAAGAUGAAAGCAACGAAGCGUAUGUUCAUAAUUUUAAGAUGAGUAUUUCUCGUGAUAAUAAUACUUGGAUAUCGGAGUGGGCGACUCAAGUAGCAGAGCACAAUUCGUUACCUCCCAUAAUAGGCGGCACGACAGGUCGUACACCACCUCUAAGUCCUACCAAAAUACCAUCCCCGAUUCAUACUAGAUCUCAACGAGGAUUGCGUAAUCGUUAUGAACAUUCCGAUAGUAACGUGAGUACAGAUACGUAUGUGCGAAUAAAAGAAAGAAUCAAUUUAGUUUCAAAUCAACAUCAGAUUAUAGAUUCCGGCGGUGAAUCCGAUGACGAUACCAGCAAUAGUUACAACACGCCGCCCAACAGCUCACAGCGUACACCUGUACAUAGUACCGUAGGUAGACGCGGUAGCUUGUCUGACUCAUUGUUUCGACGAGCGAAUAGCAACGAAAAUAGACGCAGCGUCCGAAAAUACUUAAGUUCAACCAAAUCGAAGACUGCUGAUACUAAUGUAGAAUUAUCGAAUAGCCCGUCCCAAGUCAUGACAACUCUCCGUUUGGAGAGAAGAAGCAACUCUCUUGAUAGGAAAGAGUAUGCUUCAGAUACAACGGAAUCUAAUACGUCCAGAAAGAAUAGUAUGAAAUAUAAAGAAAGUGAUUUCAAGCACACAAAUAGUCCUGUCUUAAGCCGUCUCAGACCACCUAUACCAAAACUGACCAAUAGUCCAAUUCUGAGUCGUAAGGUUGCCGCAACGAAAGUCCUUAAUUCUCCCAUUUUAGAAAGAUCUAAGCUUCUGACAAAGUCAUCAGAAACGAAAAAUAUAGGAUAUUUUACAUGUGUUGAAAACAGUUUGUUUUACAGUCCAUAUAUGCUGAGAAAAUCUAACAGCACUACAAAUUAUCAUGAAAGAACCAGUUAUUUUGAUAAAGACAUAUCUAUUAAAGCGCCUAAUAUGUUACAAAAUAGUCCAGAAUUUCAACGGCAUCUUAAUAUACAGAGAUCAUCAAGUAACGCGAGUAUCAGAAACAUAAGGUCACAGAAUUUUGUGUCACGUCGCAGCAGUUUCAAUAGUAAUGACAUUGACAGAAUAUCAUCGAGAGGAAAAUUUGCUGUUGCUUCUGAUAGUAGCAGCGAAACAGGUGAACAACAAAGAAAAUCUCCUUUGACACCAAUUUCAUCUGGGAUCAAAUUAAAUAGGGCUUUCAGCAUAAGAAGAGCAAGAUUAAAUUGUGAAUCCGACACAACACCGAAUACAACCCCCGAAGAAAGACGUAGAAGAGCGCAGUCGGAAGUAAAGACUGCAACGCCUGCAAAUAAGCAGAAUUAUCAUCGUAGUCGCACAAACAGUGUUGGAGCGCAUAAUAAAGAAUCAUCGAAAAAAUCAGAACCAACGAAGUUCAAAACACCGUCUAUAUCUAGGACUGAUACCGGGAGAUUUAGUAUGAGAGCCCCGAAGCCUAAUCAUUCUUCCAAUAGUCAAAAAACGAAUCAAAAGUCAAGCAAAGAUCACAAAAAAUCUGGUAGAAGUAAUUCCACUCUCACAUCUAAGGAAGUGGAGUUUCAGAAUUGGAAAAGACGGAAAAGUUACGAUCCGAUGAAAGCAGCAGCUGAAGGGAGAAAGAAAUUAAUGGACAACACGAAGAAACAUCACAGUACCGAAGACAGUACCGGGAACCAUGACAAUUCUGUGCUGAGAUCUGCAAGUUUUCACGGUACAGGAGGUGCUCUCUCAUUAGCAAACGACUGGUCAGAUAAUGAAUUAGAUUACCACUACAAGGAUAAUCAAGUACCACCACCUAGCAGUCCACAGCUUGAAGAGAGUGAUAGUGACUUGGAAACUUCAUCUUAUCUCCAAACCACUCAGAAUGUUGUAUCCGCUAUGUCGGCUCGCAUGACGGGAUAUCGUCCUCCGUUGGACUCCGAUAACGAGAGCGACGAAGAUACAAGUCAUAGUCUACGUCAGAAUAUAUUGAAAGGAAUGCGCCAUCCGAGCGACACCGAGAGCAGCGACGAACGACAUGCUAUGGCACAAUCUCCUAUUUCCAGUACUAAAUAUAAUAAAGAAUUUAGUUUGCGUAAUAGAAUAAAAUUGGAUCUCCAAAGAACAAAACCUGCGUCUUCCAAUGUGAACAGAGCCAAAAAUUUAUCACACGAUACUAGCAAAUCUGAGUCUUUUUCUAACGUUACUAGAAUGGAAUCUGGACGAUCUGGCGCGCGAAUUAGUAGAGCUUUGAGUAUGGUGCCUAAAAAUAAAUCAAAGGAACCAAGAAAGCCCCCAAUGCCAAAUGUACGAGAAGUCGAAAUGCAAAAUUGGAAACGUCGCAAAAGCUAUGAUCCCAUGAAAGCGGCAAUGGAAGGACGAAAAAAAGCGGGCUUGGCAAAGAAAGCUAUCAAUACAAAUCUAUCACCAAGGACCAAUAGCGAUUGAUAAUUUAAAAAUAGUGUGGCAAAAUAAGCAAGUGGUGUGUAGCAUAAAAUUGUUUCAACAUUUCAUGCUAUAUAUUCUCUCAAGAGCCAUGUAGCGAGAUCGCAAAGUUUUCACGGAUCAGUAGGAUUAGCAGUCAGCGACUGGAGUGAUGAAGAACCGGUCAUAUCCGCAGAUGAAGCCUCUCUAUAUUAGGAUUGUCUCAGAAUUGUGGGUAAACGAACAACUAGUGUAAUG
rnacentral:misc_RNA from 1 species